UGGUGGUGGGUAGUUUCGUCAAUGAGCUCUUCGAACGGCCUCGCUGGCGUUGAUGUGGUAUUAUUGUAUGCCGAUGACGACCCCCUUCUCUGGCCCUCUUGCAUAUCGGAACAAGAGCAAAGCAAAAGCGAAAGAACAAAAAGCACAGGGUUUCUCUUCCUGUUCCUGGAUUCGAUCCAUAUCUUCUUCUAUUUGUCCACGGAGGAGGGAAAAGGGGUGGUUUCGAUCCGAAGAGGAAUGCCGGGUUCGGUUGGAGGCGAUUAGGGCUUUUGAUCGGAGAAUGUGGCGUCUCGGACGUGACGGCGACGCCACCGGGAUCGGCGGCGGAGGCGGGGAAGCGGUGGAUGAGGACGCAGGCAAGCCGGUGGUGGUGGCGGUCCCCCCGGCGAUGCAGGCGGAGGCGUACCACCAGGCUAGAAGUAGAUCUCAGGGCGGCGGCGGCGGCGGCCGGAGAGUCGCCCCCGCUGCAUGUUCUCCGGAAGAGAACGCGACGGCGGUGGAGAAGGCGCUUCCGAACGGGGACAUGUACACUGGGGGUUUCGUCGGGAACGCGCCCCACGGCCGCGGAAAGUACUUGUGGGCCGACGGUUGCAUGUACGAGGGGGAGUGGCGGCGGGGGAAGGCGGCCGGGAAGGGUAAGUUCUCGUGGCCCUCCGGCGCGACGUUCGAGGGCGAGUUCCGCUCCGGCCGUAUGGAGGGCUUCGGGACCUUCACUGGAUCGGAGGGCGACACCUACCGAGGCUUCUGGAUCGCCGACCGCAAGCACGGGUACGGAUGCAAGUGGUACGCCAACAGCGACUACUACGAGGGCGGGUGGCGGCGGAACCUCCAGGAGGGCCGAGGCCGGUAUGUGUGGCGGAGCGGGAACCAGUACGUCGGCGAGUGGCGGAACGGCGUCAUCUCCGGCCGCGGGGCGCUGAUCUGGGCGAAUGGCAACCGCUACGACGGCCAUUGGGAGAACGGCGUGCCAAAGGGGAGCGGCGUGUUCACGUGGCCCGACAGCAGUUGCUACGUCGGUAGCUGGAGUAAAGGCGAUCCAAAGAGCUUCAACGGAACCUUUUACCCUGCCGUCACCACAGGACGCAAGGAGAUCGGUGGAAAGAGGAGCUCAUUCUCGCUUUUGGAUGAAGCAUUCAUGCUUCCGCCGCUGGCACCAGCGUCGAGGAAGACAUCGUCGGUGGACGGUGUACUGGGGAGGAGGAGCUCCACCGCAGAAAAGAACUUCCCCAGGAUCUGUAUCUGGGAAUCUGAGGAUGAGGCCGGGGACAUCACAUGCGAUAUCAUCGAUACAAUCGAGGCAGCGAUGCUUUACAAGGAUGGCUUGUCCUUCGAUCAGGGUGAGCGAACACUAAUCAGUGCCGUGCAGCAGCGACGCAACCAAUAUUGUUUGUCAACAUGGGAGGCGAAGAAGCCAGGGCAGACUAUAUUGAAGGGUCAUAAGAACUAUGAUCUGAUGUUGAACCUUCAAUUGGGCAUCAGUUACUCUGUUGGGAAGCCAGGUUCACUCAGAGAGCUCGGAGCCAGGGAUUUUGAUCCCAGGGAGAAGUAUUGGACUAGGUUUCCUCCCGAGGGAUCAAAGAUUACACCACCUCACCAGUCCAUGGAGUUCCGGUGGAAGGAUUAUUGCCCUAUGGUUUUCAGACACUUGAGGAAGUUGUUUAACGUUGAUCCGGCAGAUUAUAUGGUAGCCAUAUGUGGAAAUGAUGCUUUGAGGGAACUAUCUUCCCCUGGGAAGAGCGGAAGUGUCUUCUACCUAACCCAAGAUGACCGCUUCAUGAUUAAGACUGUGAAGAAAUCUGAAGUGAAGGUACUUAUUAGGAUGUUACCCAGUUACUACCAACAUGUCUAUCGGUAUGAAAAUUCACUGGUCACGAAGUUCUAUGGUGUUCAUUGUGUGAAGCCCAUUGGUGGGCCAAAGGUACGUUUCAUUAUAAUGGGCAAUUUAUUUUGCUCAGAUUAUCAUAUUCAUAGAAGAUUUGACCUGAAAGGUUCAUCCUAUGGUCGAUCAACUGACAAGGCUGAGGAAGAGAUCGAUGAGAUGACAACCCUGAAGGAUCUUGACCUAAACUACAUAUUUCGCCUGCAUAGGUCUUGGUACCUGGAGCUUCUUGAACAAAUCAAGCGGGAUUGUGAAUUCUUGGAAGCAGAGGGGAUUAUGGAUUAUAGUCUCCUGUUGGGGUGUCACUUCUGCGAUGAUGUUUCAGCAUCAUGGGCAGGUUCAUCACCAUGUUCUGCUUCUACAAAACCUUAUCGCAAGAGCUAUUCAUUUCAAGAUCGAGCUGCUUGGUCCAAAUUGCAGUUAUCGAAGUCAACCCAUCAAGAUAUGGAUCUAUCAAUGGGUGGCCGGAAACCUUUUAUCGGGCUAGGCUUAAACAUGCCGGCAAGAGCAGAGCACACAACAAGAAGCGAAUUGAUGCCGACACUCAAUGGCAAGAUCCAUGAUGUGAUUCUCUACUUUGGGAUAAUCGAUGUCCUCCAGGACUACGAUAUUACUAAGAAGCUGGAACAUGCUUACAAAUCCUUACAGGUGGAUCCCAAUUCCAUCUCAGCAGUGGAUCCAAAGCUCUACUCCAGGCGGUUCCAAGAAUUCAUCAGGAGAAUCUUUAUGGAAGAUGACUGACCAAACAGGGAAAGGGGGAGAACCUGGACAGACUUCAGAAGCCAAAAUCACCAUGGACGAAACAUGACUUUCUGUUAUUGGCUCAACAUGUGCUGUUAAUAACUUUGCUCUAUGACACCUGAAUUUGGCAAAUGCCAACGGACUGAAAGCGUGACUCAGGGAGAAGCAUUUGAAGGUUUGCUAUAUAGGAGGCAGAUGACCAAAAUUAUCAUUCAGCUUCGCGAAACCUAAAUUUGAGAUGCUCAUGUACCUUUCCGAUGAAUAGUGAGCUAAUCAGCCAUAGACACUCAGCAUUAGGAACCUGAAGUUGAGAGCUUCAACUGUCCAUCGGAUGAAGGCGGAUCUUGAUCAGAGAAAGAAUUGUUACAUGUGCAGAUUUCACUAGCUUAAGUUUGAGACCCUCAAUUGACCAGCGGAGGAUGCUACAAUUUGCUCCAGCAGGUGACAAGUUUGAAAGCUCUGCCAUUGUUACAAUAUGGUAUAUGGAUUCCAUUAGUUUUCUAUACUUCCUUUUGGGUUUCAGAUAGAUAGGGAACAUAAUUUUAUACUGUUUGAGGGGGGAAAAAAAAAGAAAAGAACAUAUCAACUUGCAGUUGUAGGCAUCAAAUAAGAAUUGUACAGGAAAUGGAAGAGGAAGGUGAUGAUAGUGAUGAUGAUAUGUGCAUGAACCCAAAGCAGAGAGAAGCUCGCACUGCCCCAUCUCAACAGCUUCUGAGUCGAGAGGGGCAUUAUCGGACGUGGGAAAAAGGUGGGCUGGAGAAUGGAAUUGGCAUCAAAAGCGGAGAAAAGUGCGCCAGCCAAGAUGGUGGGUAUGGCAUCACAUCUCUCCUCUUUCCCUUCCUCUUCUCGCUCCCAUUCCCACCCACUCGCACUGUUGUUGCUCUCCCAUUCAACAGCUCCUUCAAAUUCCAUUUCUUUCCUUAUCCUUGGCGUCUUUUGCUUUCUCCGUGUUUGACCAGUCUAACCCUUGUAGCUUCCCGUGUUACUCUUUCCUCUACUGGUGAACCAAAAGAGGAGAGAAGGCUGCUUACCACUAACUAUUGAGCAUCUCAAAGAACAGAAUACUAUUAAGCAUUCAGCUUUUUUUCCCCCUUUCUUCCAAUCAAGUAUUCAUCUUUGGAGUUUGGAGAGGGGGAAAGAUAAGUUUAAUCUCUCUUCUCUCUCAUUAUGCUAGUUGUAAUCGAGGUCGAAGGCUGUGUCAGGGCUUAUCACCUUUCCGUACCCUUUCCUAGUCGUUAUUUGAUUGAGUGUCUUGUUUCAACACGAAACCGAGCUCAGAAAGGGAAGUUGAUAUGUAUGUGUCCACAGAUCGCCUGUGAACUCGAAUCUGCAUGUCUCCUUCGGCUUACGCCAUUACAGUAAACCGCUACUUGCUUUCUUGCUGAUGA